rnacentral:rRNA from 1 species
UGGGGAAUUUUCCGCAAUGGGCGAAAGCCUGACGGAGCAACGCCGCGUGAGGGAUGAAGGCCUCUGGGCUGUAAACCUCUUUUAUCAAGGAAGAAGAUCUGACGGUACUUGAUGAAUAAGCCACGGCUAAUUCCGUGCCAGCAGCCGCGGUAAUACGGGAGUGGCAAGCGUUAUCCGGAAUUAUUGGGCGUAAAGCGUCCGCAGGCGGUCUUUUAAGUCUGUCGUCAAAGCGUGGAGCUUAACUCCAUUACUGCGAUGGAAACUGGAAGACUAGAGUGUGGUAGGGGCAGAGGGAAUUCCCGGUGUAGCGGUGAAAUGCGUAGAUAUCGGGAAGAACACCAGUGGCGAAGGCGCUCUGCUGGGCCAUAACUGACGCUCAUGGACGAAAGCCAGGGGAGCGAAAGGGAUU